UACAAUAUAAAAACAGGCUAUAGACAUCAUCAGAUGGUAUAUCACCCUACUAGGGACCAUGGGGAUUUACAGUCACUUUGCGACCUGCAUGGACCCCAGCUUGAUUUACACCCUCCCUUUAGCAACUG